GCCGAGCCGUGUAACGUGGGCUUGUAACCUAAGUGGGGGCAACAAUGUGAUGGGAUGUUAGGCUGUUUCAGAUGGCAGGGCUUCGGUUGGCAUUAGUCUGGCCUGCCCUAUCCAAGCAUGGAGUUGAGUCAUCUGGUUCAGACGAAAGUAUGGACUGCUUGUCUCUUAGAGUGGGGUGGACUGCGUGAGGCUGGUUUCACAGAGCAACGAAUAGUUCCCGCUCUAUGCAGUGGGAAGGAUAACGAGUCAGUGCUCUCCAAGUCCAACAAAAACCUGAUGGGCUGCCUAAUUAAACCACCACUUUU
rnacentral:SRP_RNA from 2 species